UUCCUAUUCGCACAAAAUCUGCCAGGAUC
rnacentral:piRNA from 1 species